GACGAACGCUGGCGGCGUGCCUAAUACAUGCAAGUCGAACGCACUCUCGUUUAGAUUGAAGGAGUUUGCUCCUGAUUGAUAAACAUUUGAGUGAGUGGCGGACGGGUGAGUAACACGUGGGUAACCCGCCCUAAAGUGGGGGAUAACAUUUGGAAACAGAUGCUAAUACCGCAUAAAACCUAACACCGCAUGGUGUAGGGUUGAAAGAUGGUUUCGGCUAUCACUUUAGGAUGGACCCGCGGUGCAUUAGUUAGUUGGUGAGGUAAAGGCUCACCAAGACCGUGAUGCAUAGCCGACCUGAGAGGGUAAUCGGCCACACUGGGACUGAGACACGGCCCAGACUCCUACGGGAGGCAGCAGUAGGGAAUCUUCCACAAUGGACGAAAGUCUGAUGGAGCAACGCCGCGUGAGUGAAGAAGGUUUUCGGAUCGUAAAACUCUGUUGUUGGAGAAGAAUGUAUCUGAUAGUAACUGAUCAGGUAGUGACGGUAUCCAACCAGAAAGCCACGGCUAACUACGU
rnacentral:rRNA from 1 species